CAUGUUGAAAGUCACUGAGCUCUACAGUAAAGCCAUUCUACUGCCAAUGAUUGUCUAUGGAGAUUUUAUACACCUGUCCGCAACGGGUGUGACUGAAAGAGCCGAACCCACUUAUUUGAAGGUGUCCAAAUACUUUUGUGUUAACGGUUAAGUCUUUGGAUAGUGGAUUUUGCAGAUUCCCUUGGCCUCCUGUUGGUUCACUUUUGUUCUUGCUGUGGUUUAUUUCUAGCCUUUUUUCUUUCAACGACAUGUUCAUUGACGAGCCUAACUUUUCUACCUUUGAAAGCCUCUGUAGAUUAACCUUCUGAUCUUUCUUUUUUGAUGUAAAUAAGGCGAACAAUGAUCUUUUUUCUAAUUUAAGAGUUGGCCUAGGCAUUGGUAAAAAAACCUAUGGAUCAUGUUUUUCUUUUUGUAAGUUUGUUUUUCAGCCAUUUUUGGAGUGACUUAUCUGUGGGCUAGUUUUUUCUUUUUUUGAGGAGAGAUUAAGAAAACACUGCUUCAAGACUUGCUUUGCAGUUACCCAUACUUUUCUCUUAUAAGGUCAACUAUGAAGUGAAAGUAUUUUUAAGGACACUUUCAUUGACAUUCUUAGGUGUACCUCUGACACCUGUUGCAUCACAAGGUAUGCAAGUAAAUGUGUGACAGAUGCGCAUUGCAGCUUUUUCUACUGUUUGCCAUUCAAACUUUAAAACAUGCAAACCGGUCUGGAAUGGUGUGCUUGUAUACAGUGUUUUGAUACCAGUUAUUCUAGAGCCUGACGGAUAUGGGAUUUUUGUAUCUAAUUUUAGAGGGGAAAUAUUCACAGAUAAUUGAUAUUGGGCCUAUAUUUUUAGGAUUUUAGCUGGAAUGAAACAUUUAAAAAUGUUUUCUGUAUGGAUUGUGAUUAAAAAGAUACUCAAAGAACAUUUAAUGUAAGCACCACAGAAAAAUUAGGAGCACCAGAAAGAUGCAGGAAAGAAAGUAAAUAAAAAAUGUACUCUAGUGAAAGGAAGAUAUACCGCCCUGAUUCCAGGAAACAACAUGAGCCUCUGAAGACUGAGCGGCCCCAUGCCAGAAUGAGGCUAGCAUUCCAUUUGUAGGGCUGUAGCCACUGGUAGUUGUCACUUGCAAGAUACAACAUUUUACGCUGGCACUGUGCUGCCACUCGCCCCUAAGUGUUGCUUCAGUGAAUGGUCCUUGCUAUCCGGGAUCCGUGAGACAACGCUACCGCAUAGUUUUGAAACGCCAUGUAAACACUGAGAAUGUAAAGCAACUUUUUUUUGUCUACCUGGCAUUUUCUUUGUUGGACUUUUUGUCACCUUUUUUAGACAAAUGAGUGAAUUGUCUUUAUUUAAAAAAAAAUUUUUUUUGUCAUUUUGACUCUAAUCCAAGUGCUUACAGUUUCGUGGAUGUUUUUGUGAUAUUCAUUUUUCUGAGCAGAUGUUAGUUUCAGCCAUUUUUGGAGGUUGAUUUAUUUAGUUUAUUUUUGCUUUUUUAUCCUGGGAGGAUUAACACAUUUUUUGAAGAAGUCUUCAUACUUCUCCCAUUUGUGGACUGCCUCAAAGGAGUUUCUUUCUGGCAUACUUUGGAGUGUCUUUGGAACAAAGGGUGCUGAGUCUCUGUGUCAACCGGCUGAGCAUGCGCCCCAAAAGCAGGAUGGUCUUUCUGUCCUCUCUGCCAUGUUUGAUGGAAUUCUACAGAAACUACCAUGGUGGUUUCCAGCUUCAGCCAGACUGGGACAGACGGGGAAGGGGAAACAAGUGAACAGAACAGAUAUUCGCCAGGACAAUCGCAGAAUGGUCACCAUGGAAACAUACCACCUGUACCAGUUCAGGACAUGAGAUCGCCACGUUGACCAUCUUUAAGACGAAACAGUCUCUGGGUAUCAGUAUCUCAGGUGGGAUGGAGAAUGAGAUGUUUCCAGGAGGAGCUGCCUCUACCAGUGACGUUCUGAUGGCGUGGUAUGAGCUGGUUUCAGUGGACGGUGAGUCUCUGCAGCGUGUGACCCAUCAGCAUGCAGUGUUCAGCAACAAGGCCAAAGACCCUGUGGUGUUUGUCAAGAUCCUCAAGGGACCAGCCGACUUGCAUCAGAGGAGUCCACUGUCAGGCUUACACAAGUACUACACACAGUAUUUUUAUUGAACCUUUAUUGAACUAGGAAAGUCAUUUUAAGGACAAAUUAUUUUUUACAAUGACGGCCUACACCGGCCAAACCCGGACGACGCUGGGCCAAUUGUGCGCCGUCCUAUGGGGACUCGCAAUCACAACCAUAUGUGAUGCAUUCUGGAUUCGAACCAGACUGUAGUGACGCCUCUUGCACUGAGAUGUAGUGCCUUAGACUGCUGCGCCACUCGAGAGCUCAGUACUGCUGGCCUGUCUACAAGAAUGCUCUGAGGUGCAGUUCACCCAUCCACUGGAAAUGGAAAUGAUUUGAAAUGGUUCCCCUGACGCAGAUGGUUCGCUCCAGCUAGGCUGCAAUGGAAGGGAAUGGUCUAUUCCCAGAGGAGAGGAGCAUGGGUACCUCGGGACCAAUAAGCAUGGGUACCUUACCUGGGACCAAUAAGCUUGCUUCUCCUCUAGGGCAAAAAGGUUAAUGGUUGUUUGCAUAGCAAACAGGAAAUACUGCGAAAUUAAAAUGUUUUUUUUUUACAGAUGUGGGACUACUGUGCUUGCUUUGUGUAUAACAAUAAUGUGAUAAAUACUAUUUAUCAAAGAUGAA